UACGUAGGGGGCAAGCGUUGUUCGGAAUUACUGGGCGUAAAGGGCGCGUAGGCGGCACGGCAAGUCGGGAGUGAAAGCCCGGGGCUCAACCCCCGGAGGGUCUCUCGAAACUGCCGAGCUAGAGUGCGGAAGAGGCAAUCGGAAUUCCCAGUGUAGAGGUGAAAUUCGUAGAUAUUCGCAAGAACACCAGUGGCGAAGGCGGCUCACUGGCCCGGUACUGACGCUGAGGUGCGAAAGCGUGGGGAGCAAACAGG
rnacentral:rRNA from 1 species